AAAUUUAAUUUAAAAUUAGAUAUGAUAUUUUGAAUUAAAAAUAAAUUAAAAUUUUGAUGCUUUUAGAUUAAAAUAUAUAUCCAAUAUUCUAAAUAUCCUUUCUAACGAGUGAUACUUGCUACCUAUCAUCUCUUUUCAUCUUUCUCAGAUAUCGAGCAUAUCUUGAUAAAUAUCCUAACAUAAUUUAAUCUCACAAUCUUCUUAUUCUUAUCCCAAUCUUAUAUAUAUACUUAUUCUUUUUCUCACGUAAUACCCGCUACUUAUGCAUUUGUAAUUGCAUAGGUAGCGCCGGCAUAUCAUUGUUGUCAUCUCCACCGGCACAUCUUUAAUCCUCCUUUUCGCCGGCACAACU
rnacentral:lncRNA from 1 species